rnacentral:rRNA from 1 species
UAGCGGCAGGCUUAACACAUGCAAGUCGAGGGGUAUAGUUCUUCGGNAACUAGAGACCGGCGCACGGGUGCGUAACGCGUAUGCAAUCUACCUUUUACAGAGGGAUAGCCCAGAGAAAUUUGGAUUAAUACCUCAUAGUAUAGUACAACCGCAUGGUUGAACUAUUAAAGUCACAACGGUAAAAGAUGAGCAUGCGUCCCAUUAGCUAGUUGGUAAGGUAACGGCUUACCAAGGCUACGAUGGGUAGGGGUCCUGAGAGGGAGAUCCCCCACACUGGUACUGAGACACGGACCAGACUCCUACGGGAGGCAGCAGUGAGGAAUAUUGGACAAUGGGCGCAAGCCUGAUCCAGCCAUGCCGCGUGCAGGAUGACGGUCCUAUGGAUUGUAAACUGCUUUUAUACGAGAAGAAACACUCCGACGUGUCGGAGCUUGACGGUAUCGUAAGAAUAAGGAUCGGCUAACUCCGUGCCAGCAGCCGCGGUAAUACGGAGGAUCCAAGCGUUAUCCGGAAUCAUUGGGUUUAAAGGGUCCGUAGGCGGUUUAAUAAGUCAGUGGUGAAAGCCCAUCGCUCAACGGUGGAACGGCCAUUGAUACUGUUAAACUUGAAUUAUUAGGAAGUAACUAGAAUAUGUAGUGUAGCGGUGAAAUGCUUAGAGAUUACAUGGGAAUACCAAUUGCGAAGGCAGGUUACUACUAAUGGAUUGACGCU